rnacentral:lncRNA from 1 species
CUUCCUGCCAUUCAGACAGCCCACCAGCUAUCCCUCACCAGAGACUCCCAGGCUCACAAAGCUUCUUCUAGUUCUCUGGUGGCCCUAUCUCAGCACUGGAACAGGACCAAAGGAAGAAUGAAAUCUCCACCCUUCCGAUUUGGGCCUUGAGAGUUGGCUAACCUUCCCUUCUCCCCUCCCCUCCAAGAUGCCCUCCUUCUGUCCCCUCUGUCCUACCCACCUACUUACCUGCCAAUUUAUUAAAUUCAUUCAUUCUCCCAAAAAAAAAAAAUAAUAAUAAUAAUAAUAAGCCUUGUGUUUUCCAUCCUUUUACCUUUACUUCCCCAAUUCUCCUCUGUCCCGAAUGCCCUCCCAGCUUCUUCAUCUCCCUUUGCUGGAAUCCUACCUAUGAGACCCAACUCCAAGGCCACCUCUACCAUGAAGCCCUCCUUCUUAAGAUAAGUGUCAAAAAAAAGUCAGUACUGCUUUACUCAGUCAGGCUCAAAUCUGCCAAAGUGGUUUUAUUUAAUGGCUCAUUAAUCAACAAGUAUUUAUAGCUCAGAGCAGGGGUUGGCAGGGGUCAAAUUCAGCCCCCUGAGCCAAGAAGGGUUUGGUUUGGGUUUUUUUUUAAUCCUUCCCUUUCAUCUUGGAAUCAAAAACGAUGUAAUGCUUCCAAGGCAGAAGAGCAGUAAGGGCUGGGCAGUGAGGGUCAAGUGACUUGCCCAGGGUGUCUGAGGCCAGAUUUGAUAUAUACUCCUCCAUAUUUGACUGUAAAACUCCAUAAGGGUAGAAACUGGGUCUUGACUAUCUAGAUAAAGUACUGGACCUAGAGUCAAGAAGACUUGUGUUCAGUCCAGCCUCAGACACUAGUUGUUUGACCCAGGGCAAGUCCUCUAACUUCUAUCUGCCUCAGUUUCCUUAUCUGUAAAAGGAGCUGGAGAAGGAAAUAACAAGCUAGCCAUGUGACCUUAGGCAAGUCAAUGCACCCUGUUUGCCUCAGUUUCCUCACCUGUAAAAUGAACUGGAGAAGGAAAUGGCAAACCCCUCCAGUAUCUCUGCCAAGAAAACCCAAGGGGGUCAUGAAGAGCCAGACAUGACUGAACAAGAUCAACCAUCAUCUAUAAAAUAGGGGUAUUGGUAGCACCAACAUCCCAAGGUUGUGAGGCUCAAAUGAGAGAAAUGUGUACAUCACUUAGCACAAUGCCUGGCAUAUAGUAGGGGUUUAAUAAAUGCUUGCUCUCCCCUUCUCUCUCCA